GACGGGUGAGUAACGCGUGGGUAACCGUGCCUUAUACAGGGGGAGUAACAGUCAGAAAUGGCUGCUAAUACCGCAUAAGCGCACAGAGCUGCAUGGCUCAGUGUGAAAAACUCCGGUGGUAUAAGAUGGACCCGCGUUGGAUUAGCUUGUUGGUGGGGUAACGGCCCACCAAGGCGACGAUCCAUAGCCGGCCUGAGAGGGUGAACGGCCACAUUGGGACUGAGACACGGCCCAGACUCCUACGGGAGGCAGCAUG
rnacentral:rRNA from 1 species